GCUGGUGUGGCUCAGAGGUAGAGCAGCGCACUCGUAAUGCGCAGGUCGUGGGUUCAAUUCCCACCACCAGCUCCA
rnacentral:tRNA from 2 species